AUGCAAGUCGAACGAACGGAGGAAGAGCUUGCUCUUCCAAAGUUAGUGGCGGACGGGUGAGUAACACGUGGGCAACCUGCCUGUAAGUUGGGGAUAACUCCGGGAAACCGGGGCUAAUACCGAAUGAUAAAGUGUGGCGCAUGCCACGCUUUUGAAAGAUGGUUUCGGCUAUCGCUUACAGAUGGGCCCGCGGUGCAUUAGCUAGUUGGUAGGGUAAUGGCCUACCAAGGCAACGAUGCAUAGCCGACCUGAGAGGGUGAUCGGCCACACUGGGACUGAGACACGGCCCAGACUCCUACGGGAGGCAGCAGUAGGGAAUCUUCCGCAAUGGACGAAAGUCUGACGGAGCAACGCCGCGUGUAUGAAGAAGGUUUUCGGAUCGUAAAGUACUGUUGUUAGAGAAGAACAAGGAUAAGAGUAACUGCUUGUCCCUUGACGGUAUCUAACCAGAAAGCCACGGCUAACUACGUGCCAGCAGCCGCGGUAAUACGUAGGUGGCAAGCGUUGUCCGGAUUUAUUGGGCGUAAAGCGCGCGCAGGCGGUCUUUUAAGUCUGAUGUGAAAGCCCCCGGCUUAACCGGGGAGGGUCAUUGGAAACUGGA
rnacentral:rRNA from 1 species